UGUGAAUGUGCAAACAUGUCGCCUGGAACUCUUUGUUUACAGCUCACAGCUGCAGCACUUCUCACUAGACUUUGUCGUGGUGAUUCUGUCUCACAAACACCGGCUGCAUUCACAGUGAAUGAGGGGGAUGAUGUCCAGUUGUUCUGUGAUUACGCUACAAUAGGCAGCGAUCCUAAACUAUUCUGGUACCGCCAAUCUUCCAAUGGGUUGAUGGAGUUUCUGCUCCUGAAAAGCAAAUAUAGCGAGAAAACGGCGAAUUUUCUCCGGGACCGGCUCUCCUCGAAUUUUGAUCAUGGAAACCAUACUAUCGAGCUGAAAAUGUUGAAAGCAGAACUAACAGACUCCGCAAUGUAUUACUGUGCACUGAGACCCACGGAGACUCAGAGGCGGCUGACCCUGUACAAAAACUCUAAGAGCGUCACUGAACAAAGGAGUGUAUUAGGCAAACAGUAA